rnacentral:tRNA from 1 species
ACCUGAGUGGCUCAGUCGGUUAAGCAUCUGACUUUGGCUCAGGUCAUGAUCUCAUGGUUUGUGGGUUCGAACCCCCCAUCGGGCU